CUUAAGGAUUAUCAGGCAUGUUUUCUGUGCUAAAUGAUGUGUCAAAAUAAUUUUUAUUUCCAGCAGACAACUAUCUAAAAAGGCAACAGGAUCUGAGUUUCUGAAUACAGGAAUAACUUUUUGCAGCAUGGGGGGAAAAACAGCAUAGUGAUUGUUUAAGUGACAGGAAAAAAACUGACUGAGUGGCAAAGUUGUCCUCCAUAUCACAGAGCAGGUUUAUAAUGAGCUUGUCAAGUACCUCAGUGAUUUCCUGGUAGUUACAGGAUUGAAACAGCAGAUUUUAAGAGGGCAGGAUUAUCAGUUCCUAAAUAUGGAAAUAGAUUCUGCCAACAUGGGUGGUUCUCCUAAACAUUUUCGUCGGUCAAAGGUGAAACGCUGUGAUCAAGAGUCGUCCCCGGGGGACGCCUUAACUCCGAAGAAAAGAAAAACUCGUUUAGCAGGU